rnacentral:ncRNA from 2 species
UGAUCCGCGGCGGGAGAGUCCCGCAUCCGUGGGCGCCGAAGGAGCAAUUUCCUCCCCGGGAAUCUCUCAGGCACCUGUACCGCCGUGGCGAG